rnacentral:lncRNA from 1 species
UAGCAUAGAAUUACAGCAGUGAUUAUUCUCUUUCUGGAUAAUAUCAGGGCUUAAAUGCUUGUAUUUCAGCCCAGAGUAGAAACACAGACACUCACACACAACUAAUUGUGUCUCCAAAUAAUCAGAAAGGUUUGCUCAAUGUUACAUAUACAACCAUUGAGAACAAUCCCAAAAUGAGGUGCUCCUGAAAAAAAUACUACAAUGUCUCUGUAUUUGUAUCACUUCUAAGAUCAUAGAUGCAGAACCGUAGUAAACUCAUAGAAGAAGGAAGGAAAAGCAUUGAAGCCAUAAAAGGUUGAUGCACCUGGUACACGGAAGGGCCAGUUGAAGUGAGACUAUGAUCCCAUCACUUCCAUGUAUGAGCUCUCCCUUUAUUGGAUGUGCAACUCUGGACCAUUCAUUAAAACUCUCAUCUUGAUGAUCUUAAAAUUGUUAUCUCCUG